UAUUUUUGAGUUGACAGGCCUCUGUGGAAGACUCAUUAUCUGGUAUGGUAGAGGACCUGAAAUGGCUGCCACCUAAAGGCCAAGACUGCCCCUCCAGUGCCUCUGAAGCCUGAGGCAGAGGUCAGCCAACAACACAGGAACACUUGGUUGGCCACAUCAGGUUCAGGACUGUACUUUGGAUGAGCCCUGAGACCUGGAUGAACAGAGGUCUCUUGAAUUCUUGUGAAGGAAUCAGAGAGGAUGCCUGGGCCUGCAGCCAGCACCACCCUCAGGGCUUCCCAGGAGGAGCUGUCCCUGGGGCCAGUGUGGUUUGCCCCACUGCUGCAGGACCUGGAGAGGAUUCAUCCUACAGUGAAUUGGAACAGGAGGGGCCCCAGAAGCUGAUCCAUAAAGUGUCCACCUCUGAACAGAUGGGGACCAAGGAAUCAGAGAGGAUGCCUGGGCCUGCAGCCAGCACCACCCUCAGGGCUUCGCAGGAGGAGCUGUCCCUGGGGCCAGUGUGGUUUGCCCCACUGCUGCAGGACCUGGAGAGGAUUCAUCCUACAGUGAAUUGGAGCAUGAGGGGCCCCAGAAGCUGAUCCAUAAAGUGUCCACCUCUGAACAGAUGGGGACCAAGAUCAGUCUGCUGACAAGACUUUGAAGGGGAUUCAACAUGAGCCUAGUGAAUCACAGUUUGUUCAUCUUCAGGAAGUCAUUUCAAAAGAUUUCAAAGUAAAAGUGAAGUGCUUAAGAAAGCAUGA